rnacentral:lncRNA from 1 species
UCAUCAUCUGUGGAAAAAAAAACGUUAAGUCCGAAAUGCAACCAGUCUCACAUUUCUUUAUUCGAAACUAAAAGAGGGAGAUGAGAAUUGCACUCGAGCGAACAUUUUAAAGUUUGCAACACUGUCCUAAACGGCUGUUUCGUAUUGUUGUAGGAGUAGUCAAGUGUACAGCUCAACCAAGCAAGUGUGUACCUUUCACCAUGGGAAGAUGGAAAUGCCUAACGAUCUUAGCGGACUUUUCUAGCGAAACAGUGUACGAGAGUGCACGACAAUUUUUUCGUCGAAAAUCUAACGGUAUUUCUUUCUCUGAAUAUUUUUUAAAUCGACAAUAGGUCGUAAUAACUGUGGCAGUAUUUUUGCUUUCUGAUUUGUAAGAAUCAACGCGUGCUGUGUAUCUGAAAGCAUAGCAUACAGCUUUGCUUAGUGAGGAAAUCAAAUUUUUCCAGCAGUGUUCCACAUGCUGUUUAUUAAUGACAAUUUUUUUUUACGUACGGAUUAUAUCGUUAAUUGUAACAAGCGUGUUGAUAAACUUUGAAUUUAAUUUAUAUACAAGAAGAGUAAUAUGCAUCCUUUAGCCAAAAGCCGUUUAAGGAAGAUUGAUAUGAAAACAUGGUUAACCGGAUAUUUGUCAAAUUACAAUUGUUUUUGCCAACUUUAACUGCAAAAUUGAGGUAGAACAAACACUUGUCCCUGAUCCUUUUUUAAGAGAUUUUCAAUCCCUAUUGAUACUUUUCAUUGCUUUUUAUUCGUGUAUUCAAUUUAUCUUAAAAUUUUGUGUUGUCUUUUUCCACUCUUUGUUGUUCAAUUGCUUCUACUGCUGGCAGCUUGAACCCAAAUCAUUUGAUUUCGAUAAAUAAUAUUAAUUAUUUUGAAUUGAAACACUACAUAAAUCUAUAUUCUAUUGUACGUUUCACAUCAAAGUGAUAAACGACGGCAAAAAUUACUUGUAUCUAAUUAGACGUUUAUUACCUAUAAAUCCCAAUUGAAUCAAAUAAAAUAAAUAUUGUCAGAGGGAAAUGUCUUCCCCUAAAGCGAUGGGGACCGCACCCUCAUCCGCGGGGCAUGAACGGGCAUUUUUCAACCACUAAGUUGACUGCCCCACUUUGAAACUUUCCGGUUUGGAAAUUAGAUCAGCAUUUGUUAAACAAUUCAAAUGGAAGCUGAAUUGUUAUCCAUGCACAAGGAAAAUUAAAAAAGAAACACGCCGUAUAACAACCAGUUGUUUGUCGCUGACUCUUCACGCAAUAUUUCAACAAUCAAUUUUCCUUCGUUGCUCUACUCGCAAACAGCGAAACAAACCAAAAACCAAAAUAAUUUGGGAUUUUUGAACUUUCUUUAUCCAGGAUUUACUACAGUCAGGACAGAAAAUUUCUUUGAACAAGUAAAGUAUAGUCUAAUGGAACACAUUUGAAGGAAACUUUGGAAUAGUUAAUUCUUAUAAUAACACAUCGAACAUGCGUUACUGGUAAACAACUAAUAUUCACUCGAGUAUCAAGGACCUAAAUCCAAAAGGAAACACACCAAGCAUAGAGUGAAACGCCAUUUUACUUACUUUUAAUAUUAAGAAUCCGGCUAAGAUGUGUAACAACAGUGUUCAGGAGAGAGAAACCUGCUCCGUGCUGAACGCGAGAAUAUUGGGAACCAAACUGAACCUCAUUUCACCAGGUUAUGGCAGCUUAGACGCCAGGGAAAGGAGGCCGACCCUUACGAACCGCUAUCAACCACUGGAAAGGACGAAAGGACGAUUUUUUUUCUUCUUCUUCUUCUUUUUCUUUUUUCUUGUCAUUAAUUCGAUUUCUUCGCUUUGCUCUUUCCAGUACAUUUACUUUGGAGAAAGCAGUAUGAAAAGAAAGGAAACGUUUCUCACUGUUCUACUAUUCGUGCUCAUCAGGAAUCAACCUCAAUAUCCAUCAUUCGUUAAAGAAUCACUAAGCCUUUGGCUGUAAAGGUAGGUCGGCUUAGAUGCGAGAUUGAUGGAAGCACGAAAUAUUACCGUUGCUAUUACAACAUCCAUACAGAAGUCUAAAAUAUCGAACGAAACAAUCUGAAUUUAUCCGCCAAAGACGUCUUCUAAACUUCACUUUCAUCUUUAACGUUUUGGGUCGACAGGCCAUAUUUAAAAAAUCUCGUGAAUAUUCACUUGCAAUCCGUUGAUGGACUCACCUGAAACUUCUCUAGGACGUCCUUUGGAGUGAAAUACAUUCCAAAAC